rnacentral:rRNA from 1 species
AUUGAACGCUGGCGGCAGGCCUAACACAUGCAAGUCGAGCGGAUGAAGGGAGCUUGCUCCUGGAUUCAGCGGCGGACGGGUGAGUAAUGCCUAGGAAUCUGCCUGGUAGUGGGGGAUAACGUCCGGAAACGGGCGCUAAUACCGCAUACGUCCUGAGGGAGAAAGUGGGGGAUCUUCGGACCUCACGCUAUCAGAUGAGCCUAGGUCGGAUUAGCUAGUUGGUGGGGUAAAGGCCUACCAAGGCGACGAUCCGUAACUGGUCUGAGAGGAUGAUCAGUCACACUGGAACUGAGACACGGUCCAGACUCCUACGGGAGGCAGCAGUGGGGAAUAUUGGACAAUGGGCGAAAGCCUGAUCCAGCCAUGCCGCGUGUGUGAAGAAGGUCUUCGGAUUGUAAAGCACUAUAAGUUGGGAGGAAGGGCAGUAAGUUAAUACCUUGCUGUUUUGACGUUACCAACAGAAUAAGCACCGGCUAACUUUGUG